AGCUAGGACUGGGUUGGUUCUGGUGCUAAUUUGGGCCUGUCUCUGACUUUCACAAAGGUCACAAACCUAUCUGGUAUCUGGGUGGUCCGUAGUGGUAAAUAUGAAGAUUAGCACACCAUUGUUGACCUUGUGUGACCUUUGCCGACCUGCUGCCGUGUGUUUCCUCCUCUUGUUCCUCAGGCCAGAGAUACGUUCAAAAAGAUUGACAUCGUCUUCAAUGAUCCAGACGUAAAAGUCUUGGGAGAAACGCACAUAACAAUCCCUUACAGCAAAGACGUCUACAACUUCUUCUACAUCGGUGGAGUGCCACUGUCUCUGAGAGAGAGGGACGGCAUAACGGCCCCCGCCCUGAAGGGCUCCCUGCAGAACUGGCCUAAGGUGGACUCACAGAGGGAAACCCUCAUCGAGAUGCUCGGAGUCAUGAGGGGCUUCCGGGAAAAUCUACUGGCCGUUCGUGAGGCAGACUUCAGUGCUGACAGCUCCCUCACAGAGGCCCAAGAACCUUUUAA